UCUUCUCAAAGUCAUUCAUUUACUGCUAAACCAUUCUCAAGCAAGAAUCAACAAGAGACUGGAUAGGGGAUGGCCACAUAGCCAUUCUGAGCUCAUUUCCUGUGAAUUUCUGAACAGACUAGAAGUACCCAUAGGGCACACAGGCCAGUGAAACUGCAGGCAAAAUGCCUUCAGGUGCAAGAGGAAGGAUGCAAGUCCUGUUAUCACUGAACAGAAUGACACUUGCAGCAGGUACAGCUGAC